rnacentral:rRNA from 1 species
UACGUAGGGUGCGAGCGUUGUCCGGAAUUAUUGGGCGUAAAGAGCUCGUAGGCGGUUCGUCGCGUCGGCUGUGAAAACCCGGAGCUCAACUCCGGGCCUGCAGUCGAUACGGGCGGACUUGAGUGUUGCAGGGGAGACUGGAAUUCCUGGUGUAGCGGUGAAAUGCGUAGAUAUCGGGAGGAAUACCGAUGGCGAAGGCAGGUCUCUGGGCUAUAACUGACGCUCAUGCACGAAAGCGUGGGGAGCAAACAGG